CCCAGGGGAAAGGCUUUCAGCACCUUAUCCAAUCCCCUCCCGUUGGUCUCGAAGUAAGCUGAGCUGGGUAAAACAAAUCAAGAACGAAGACCAGGGGCCUUUGGCAUGUAGUUGCAGGACUCAUGAUUCUUUUCGCGGGUCAGGGAUUCACUCUGAUAGUAACCCUCAACGAAUUAUAAGGUAUAUAAGGAGUAACUGUAGGAUUUAUAAGGUAUAUAAAGAGUAACUGUAGGAUGCAUUGCAUUCAAGACAUAUCCAAACAUUCCAGACUCUCUUCUUAUAUCUAUGCUCUAGUCAUAGGGUUGACCAACUCACUGCACUUACUCUAUCUAACCCUUUUGGCGCUCUCAUAGUCUAAUAACCGAUGGAUCAAAGGUCGAGGUGCGAGACUAUUCCUAUUUGUUUAACAUACAUAGUUUCCUGUAUGAAAGAAAAGCCAAAGAAAGAAUGUUACUUCAUUAUAGAUUCACCAAUCCAGCCCGCUCUCAAUGACUUGGAAUAUAGAUCACUGACAAACCCAAAGCAAUGACUUGGAAUAUGGAUCACUUAAAACACACAGCUUAUCAAGCGAAAGCAACUUACACAGCUUAUCAAGCGAAAGAAACGGAAUUCUACGCCGGUGGGCUAGCGCCUUGUUUAUGACCCAUCAGGUAAGCGCAGGACAGCUGACAUUGUUGUUAGUAAGCACCUGCUCUAAUAUGAGGGGAUUGUAAGCACCCGCUCUAAUAUGAGGGAAGUUUGCCUAAUCCAGUAUUCUAUGUAAGAACCAACUCUAGUAUCUCGGAGGGGCGAGGCUAAUUCCGUAUCCCUUACUAUAGAUUAGGAAAUCAUUGAUGUAGUCCCUUCUUCCUUUCCCUUACCCGGCUUUGAUUUAGCACUUUUGUUACAUAAGAGUCUUGCUCAAUGCGACCAUUUCAUCAGGCUCGUACUUGCUGUAACCUAUUAGAUGCCCGGUAGCCCUUCCCUUCUUCUAUUUCUAUGGUGGAUGCUAGCUUUAGGGGGGCUUGCUACCUAGAGACAAGAAAGGAUCAAAGGAAUUCCAGAUUAUAUGCGGGAUUUAAUAUUAACAUGGGAUUCUGUGUUCAAGGCACCGAAUAAGAAGUUCCGGGUUUUGGCUUAACGGAUAAAGGAUAGGAGGGAGUAGCAAUGAAUAGGAAAGAUAAGGUGCUAAGAGCCUGCUAAAGCAAGGAAUGCUUUUUACAUAUUUUCUGAUUCUUCAUGAAUUAGUUAUUCUUCAUGAAUUAGUAAAGUGGUUUUUCUUUCUUCUAUUAUUAUAGAUCUCUUAAUUCUUUCGGGUGAACAAGGUUAGUCUAUGCUCGUAAGUGUGCAAGGCCAGUUCAGUUGGUGAGGCGGGCACUCUCGUUGGUGGAGCAGAAGGGUGUGCUGGUGCUCUCCAAGUAUGUGUUCUAGGGUUUCUUUUGUGUGUGUCAGAAUGAUAAUAGCAUAGAUCGAGUCUCUAGGUCGAUAAGGCCCAGAUCGUAAUAACAGCUUAUGUCCCUAGCCACGACUAAGACUAAGCGGAUUUCCCAACAAGUCCGGUUCUUUCAACUUAGGGUUUCUAAUCUCGCUGCUGCUCCCAAAGCGUUUCGAGUUGCCAGUGCACAUCUUUUGAUUUCUGUGACAAUACAAUCCUGAUUACAGUCAGAGGCGUAAGAGCGCCCCCUUACUGCUACGUAGGCACGUGGAGGAUAUUUGCCGUAGGGAUUCAACAAUCACCUUGCAUUUUAGGCAUUCUUUUCUCUGUCAUGCGCACGCCUUACUUAUUUCGGUGUCUUUUACACCCUUAUUUUCUUGGCUUCAUUGAGACAUCGAAAGCAUACUUUAUAGGAUCUAGGACUGUGUAAGCUGUUACAUUGGAUAGCAUACUGCCUUAUUUUACCUAAAAAACAGGCUAUCUAUUCUAUUCGAGCUUGGACGCAGGCGUGAGCAACAACAAUAAAGCAUGGUCAGGUCAUUCAUUCUGAAAGUAGAAAACCCUCUUUCUUAUUGAAAACCCUCUUUCUUAUUAAUGCUAAACUAAACCCUAUCUAUACUUAGAGCUGAAAUAACCAACAACCAACAUUUAGAAGGACUGUCGAUAGAAGCAAUCAUCCGAGGAACCCUCCCUCACUGUUGGUCCAAUCCUGACCCAAUUGACUAAGUUGCGGGAACUCCCUGAUUAGGAGCGGAUCAGAGAGAGGCAUAAGCUACAUCCGGAGUCUCAGUAAAUAGGAUUUCAAAGAGGUGUGUAAGUAAACUAUAGUAAAGGAGUUCAAUCUGAUCUUUCUUCCCUUGUCUCCCUCUUUAAUUAAGGGGCAUUGACUACCUUACUUUAGCACAACAAUAGAACCUUACUUUAGCACAACAAUAGAUUAGUGGGGGUUUCAUUCUGACUGUUGCUUGGCCCGUUCGAACUAGACUGAUAUAGCGACACUAGUAUCUAUCUAUCCUAGACUGAUAUAGCUACACUAGCAUCUAUCUAUCAAGGAACACUGAGCUAUGCCACGGAUGCAACUUGAACUACCGAGACUGACUGACAAACGAACCCAGCUCUCACAGACCUAGCUAUACUACGGAAUUACUGCCCCAUGCUUUCUAGUGCACUAGGUAGGAGAAGGGGGACCUACAUUGCUAUACCUGAGUUUGACUCAAUGCCCCGUGUCCUUGGACUUUUCUCCCAAGCUUCCUUCUAUGCUGACAGAAGCGGAUAGGCAGGAAACACAGAAUAGGCAAAAUGGCUAUGGACAUACAUGGUAGUAGCAGUCUAUCUUCUAUCCUUAUUGCGCUUCCGCUUCCUUACCCUGAUGGAAUCCUUCUGCUCGAAGCUCUCUCUUCCUAGCACACGGAAGAAGCCAGACCGGGCGAGAGCUCGUUCCAAUCACAAGUCUUACUACGAGUCUAUAGCAAGUCCGAUCAAGCUCUUUCUAUACAUGUGGGAGAGGUAAGCAAGAUCUUGGAUUGAUGUGCCUGAAUCAGGUUUCUCAAUGGUAUACUGACUUGGUUGAAGAGCAACUUCCCUUGUUAAUGUACGAGCUGGAGACUAGAAUCAAGAUGCCCACCAUCAGAUGCUAUAGGAACUGCCAAUACGUAUAUAAAGGAUGCUAUAGGAACUGCCAAUACGUAUAUACUGAUCUGAAGUAUUAAAGGGAUCCCCUAAUGCCCAUAUUAGCGAAAUAUGACUCAAUAGUCACUUUCCUUAGACUUGCCUCUAUGACUCAAUAGUCACUUUCCUUAGACUUGCCUCUAUGGCUUCCCUUACAGGCUUGUCUUCUAGUGGACUGAGAGAGCUCGCUCUAAUCUCAAUUCUCAAUAAAUACCUAACAUACGGAAUUCUUAAUUAACUGUACGAUCUUAGACGGAAUUCUUAAUUGACUGUACGAUCUUAGACGGAAUUCUUAAUUGACUGUACGAUCUUAGAAUGGAUGCAAAGAAUCCACGAUAAGAAAUGUCCCUUAGACUCUCAGAUUGGACUCGUCUUCUUUCGUUCUUCUGAAACUGCAAAGGAUAUCUAAUUCAUUCUAUUCGGAUUCGGGGAUCUUUAGUAAGGUCAACAAAAGGGCUAAGGACUGGAAUAGGCUUGAAACCUACGACCGAAGUAAAGGCUUGCUCAUUUGUGCGCACUGAUUGGUUCCUCGUGGGAAGCAGGCAUUCUAUAAUCCUACGAAAUUCCCACUUGAACUCGCAGAUAUUAGACCAGUAAGAGCGGAUUCCAUACUUUCUUCUGAGUUUUAUUACGGACUUUUUCUUCCCUAAACUGCUGAUGCGGGCGCUUAUUUCUAAAGAACUUCUGCUGUUACUGGAUAGGGUGGUUUAUUGGAAUCAGACUUACCACCGUAGUCGGGCGAGAAAGUGAUUGAUUCAAUAGACGGUUAUCGAGUCUGCAAGAGAUUUCUCAAUUGGGGGCGAAUGCUCUACGGUCGAGUGGGCUAGAUUGGGGGCGAAUGCUCUACGGUCGAGUGGGCUAUCGCUCCCGUUCGCCUCAACUCUUUCUUUGGUUGGACAUCGGUUCCUCUCACGGGAUACGUUCAAGUCCUUCCGUUUCAUCCCAUCUCCUCCUAUCCUGAUGGUCUCGCAUCUUCAUAUCCUCUUUCCAUAGAAAAAGUACCAUCUCAUAAGGAAAGCCGCCCUAGCUUGGUUUCGGGGGAGAAGGACUCAGGAUCAGUCUAAUGCCAAGAGCGAGGAGCAAAGAAUUAUUUGCUGUAGUUUUUGAGUUGCCUGCCCUCGGGCGGAAUUGCUUACUCUAUAAAUUCCUUAUGAUUAAUUGCUUACUCUAUAAAUUCCUUAUUCUGGUAAGAGUAGCCAUCCUAGCAAGACUCAAAAAGAUCUCCCCUAGCGGUAAGGAUUGAAGCUAGAUUCUCUAUACCAACGCAUUCUAUCCAUCAAAGAAGGAAAGUAGAAUCGCAAGGCAAGGGGACGAAACAUAGCUAUGAAAAGCAAUCCCCAAAAUCUCGCUGGCAGGUAAGGAAAAAACGCUUCUUCAACGGAAACUGCCUUCCUUUUUCACUAGUUAACCUCUGAUUCUUUUGAUUCUUGAUUACUUCUGUUUCCGUUUACCUGAGCGAAUUCUUGACUUGCUUGCGAGCUAACUUGGCUUGGUGCCAGGGCUAAUGGUUGGUUCUGUCUACUAGAUUUAGGAUGAUUGAUAGGCUCACUCCCUUUGAGCUAACAGCCAAGAAGAGUUCACAUUCCACUUCCUUACGUGCCCCCGAGAGGAAUCGGACUUUCUGCUUAUUUAAUCAUUCACAUAGAUUGCCUAGUAGUAGAGUUCAAUUCGUUCGCUUUAGAAAGGGUCUUUCUAACCUUGGGCUUGAGCUUGGUAUUUCCUUAUUAUAGAUAAGGAACGCACAGGUUAUCGAAUUAAUGGACUAGCUUCACUAAGACUAAGUCGAUAUUCUAUAGCCACUGCCUUACCAUUCCAUUCAUU
rnacentral:lncRNA from 1 species